ACGGGAGGCAGCAGCUGGGAAUUUUGCGCAAUGGGGGAGACCCUGACGCAGCAACGCCGCGUGGACGAGGAAGGCCUUCGGGUUGUAAAGUCCUUUUAGUGGGAAAGAAUAAGAUGACGGUACCCGCAGAAGAAGCACCGGCUAACUCCGUGCCAGCAGCCGCGGUAAUACGGAGGGUGCGAGCGUUAUUCGGAAUAACUGGGCGUAAAGGGCGCGUAGGCUGUUAUGUAAGUCUGGUGUGAAAUCCCGGAGCUUAACUUCGGAAGAGCAUUGGAUACUGCAUGACUAGAGUAUCGGAGAGGAGAACGGAAUUCCUAGUGUAGAGGUGAAAUUCGUAGAUAUUAGGAGGAACGACGGAGGCGAAGGCGGUUCUCUGGACGAAAACUGACGCUGAGGCGCGAAAGUGUGGGGAGCAAACAGGAUUAGAUACCCUGGUA
rnacentral:rRNA from 1 species